ACAAUGCAUUCUGGUCGAUUAGUAAAGUAGUUGGUUGCAUUCAUCUUCAUUUAUGUAAUAAGUUUGGCUUUAAACAGUCAAAGAAAAUAAGAUCUCACUCAAUUGAAUAAAUAAUUGCAAAUGAAGAUGCGGAAAUCAGAGUCAACACCUAGAUAAAAACGUCUAUAAAAACUUAAACAUGAUAGGCCUGAUAUUUUUGCAUUUGACAAAAAAAGAAAGAUUAUACAUUUUAUUGAGAUCAAAAUUACAAAUGAAAAUUUAUUAUCAACAGUUGGUAAGUAAAGAUAAUUCCAUAUAUGACGACUUGGGUAGUAUUGAAACAACUUAUCACAAAAAUCAUAUCAGAGCUAUCGAUUUUCUCCUAAAUGUAGAAGCAUGCAUGUAGACUCGUAUCCUCAAGAAGACUCU
rnacentral:lncRNA from 1 species